AGUGAACGCUGGCGGUAGGCCUAACACAUGCAAGUCGAACGGCAGCACAGGAGAGCUUGCUCUCUGGGUGGCGAGUGGCGGACGGGUGAGGAAUACAUCGGAAUCUACUCUGUCGUGGGGGAUAACGUAGGGAAACUUACGCUAGUACCGCAUACGACCUACGGGUGAAAGCAGGGGAUCUUCGGACCUUGCGCGAUUGAAUGAGCCGAUGUCGGAUUAGCUAGUUGGCGGGGUAAAGGCCCACCAAGGCGACGAUCCGUAGCUGGUCUGAGAGGAAGAUCAGCCACACAGGAACUGAGACCCGGUCCAGACUGCUACGGGAGGCAGCAGUGGGGAAUAUUGGACAAUGGGCGCAAGCCUGAUCCAGCCAUACCGCGUGGGUGAAGAAGGCCUUCGGGUUGUAAAGCCCUUUUGUUGGGAAAAAAAUCCAGCUGGCUAAUACCCGGUUGGGAUGACGGUACCCAAAGAAUAAGCACCGGCUAACUUCGUGCCAGCCGCCGCAGUAA
rnacentral:rRNA from 1 species